GCCAUUCAUUACCUCUAAUAGGCCUUCCUCCCAUUUCCACCCGACUUCCUGUAGCCGGUCCUCAAAUGAGUCCAGAGACUGAGCUCAAACAACAGGGGAAUGUCAAGACAUCAUGUACUAGCAAUCUACGACUGCAGGAUGGCCCCAAACUUCCUGAAACAACACGUCCAAAAGCUGACCUGUUGGUUUUCUAGUAAAUGCUACAAUUGUAUUCCUUGUUUUAAAGUUAUCCCAUGGAUCUGCUUCCUCAUUGUUAUUUGAUUCUGUGGCAAACACACUUUGUAGUGUGGAGCAGAGUGCCCCCCAAUAUCAGAGAUGCCCCUCUAACAUAAUAUAUCGAAGCACACCUCCUUUCUUGCACAUUUGAAAAUUAGUUUCAUUGACUAUGUACUUAAAUGUAAUUGUUUACAUUUUUCUUUGUUUUAUCUUGACAUUUGCUAGAGGUUAACAUUAUCCCCUGUCUCCUCUUUUGUUUAAUUUGCCCCUAUAUUGGGGAAGUGCUUUGGUCGGCUCACUGUGUUCUAAAUGUGCUACAGAGAUAAAUCUGACUUACCUUGACAAUUAA